GUGAGAGGGGGUGUAUGUGUCGUCUCGGGCUCUUCAGUGGAUUAUCCUGUACUUCUGUUUGACAUUAGUGCUUUCGGUGGUAGGGGAGGAGAAAUAUUGCUGUGAGGAUGCUAGUGAGGGUGUGAGGUGAGAAUUAAGGGCGUGGAGGGAGUGAGUGGGUGGAAAAGGGUUUGUUUGAGUGUUGUGAUCGAUACUGAGGGACAGGGAGGCGAGAAAACGUGUUGUUAUUAUUAUUGUUUGCGGAAAGGUGAUCUGUUCCACCCGCCAUCUUUGGAUUAAUAACAGGUGGUGGUCUGGGUGGAUUUAAUUACGCGCAAAUCGUCUGCUUCACCUGCCACCGUUGAUAUUAAAGGUGGUGAGGGCGUCCUGAUGUAAGAAGUAGUGCUGGUGGUUGCGCCCUUCUCUACGCCACCACUUCGACCACUACCUUCACCACCACGACCUCCAUCAUCUCCCGCUUCUCCUUCUGCGCCUCCGCCUCCUCCUCCUCCUCCGCCUCCACCUCUGUCGUGUUCCCCGUCGUUAGUGACUCCUCCACGACCACCAGGUGCCUCGCCAGGUUCUCUUCGUGUGGGCGUGGAUGAGGAUGAAGGACCAGGGCUGAAAGAAUUAAGUUAUACGACAGAAGUCAACAACAAUAAUUAAACCACAAUCACAACAACAACAACAACAACAGCAACAACAACAACAACAACAACAACAGCAACAACAACAUCAACAACAACAACUACUACAACAACAACAAAUAAAUGAACAAACAAGCAAAUAUUUAAAUAGGAGUGUAGACAAAUGAGACAUUCAUUUACUGUUUUAUCUCUCUCUCUCUCUCUCUCUCUCUCUCUCUCUCUCUCUCUCUCUCUCUCUCUCUCUCUCUCUCUCUCUCUCUCUCUCUCUCUCUCUCUCUCUCUCGCUGUUGUGAGUUCAUGGGUUCUAGGAAACUAAACAGUAUAUUAUAACACGUAGGUACAUGUGCACCAGAGACCACACACACACACACACACACACACACACACACACACACACACACACACACACACACACACACACACACACACACACACACACACACACACACACACACACACACACACACACACACACACACACACACACACACACACACACACACACUUGGUGGUUGUGUCUGGGCC